GUCAGACUGUGUCAACGCAACGGUCUGAAAUCCAGAGUCCACCCCACUGGGCUUGGGGGAGUAGAGCGGCGGGAGGUACUGGAGAGCCUAGUGCUUUUCAAUGGAGAUUCUGUUGACUCAUUUGUAUCUUGUGGGAAGAUCAAAAACUGGAGAGGGGAAACAGUCCUGUGGCAAAAAUCACCAUCUAAAAGAAUUUGAGAAUUUACUAUGAAACAUUUAAGCCAGUCUGGCAUAAGCCCUAAGUGAACACAAUUCCAUGCAGUAAAAACGUCAUAAACACUUUAUUAGAGCCGUCAAGGGUGCGAUCUAGUGGAGAAAGUAAAAUUGUGAAUGAAGAGGAGUGAGGAAGGACCAUCCCGCUGCUCCCCUGUGCGGCUCUGCGUUUGCUCAGAAGGAAGAUGACAACACAGAGGAGUGCCAAUCAUACUGUCACCUGAUCCAACAGGAGGGGAGUGUGCCUGUUUACCGGGAAAUAUUGGUGUCACUGAAGUCGGGAAUUAGAUGACAAAAAAUAUUUUAACCAAUGGGAAAGUCAGGGGAGGUUAUCAGGACAAGAUAAACUAGCCACAGUUUUCUCAGCACAUUCUUCUCUAGGAAGAAGCGCGUUUUGUCCUGGGGAAGCCACUUAUUAAUCUUUGCUUUAGUUUCACUCGCCUGCCUUUUUCUAUAUCCCUGGGUCAUUGAUUUGAUGCCAGCUAUGUGUAUUAUCUGUGAAAUAUUAAGUCCUUUGUGAGUAUCCUCUUGGUCACCAAGGCCUAUUGACCCUUUCUCCUCAAUGUCUUUUAGAUUCAACCUGUCUUUUCCAUUCCCAUGUUAAACCACCAUUCCCACAGCAUUAGCCCUUAGUUAUUUUAUCCAUAUAUACCUUCCACUCCAGUAUCUUCCUGGUAAUCCAGGCUGGGUCAAAGUUCUUAAAACUCCACUUUAGUGCUGAAGAAUCAAAGUACUUGGUGAUAGUCAAUGGAACAAGUCCAGAUUCUUCAGCCUGUCGCCUAGCCCCUCCCCAUCUGUCCCCACCCAGCCUAUCCAAUCCCACGUCCAUACACCUUGUUCAUUCUACUGCUACUUCUUUUGUCCUUCUCAUCUUUCCCCCUAAUUUUCACCCAAAUGAAAAUAAAGCCAUAAAGCCUAGUAGCUCUUUUCUUCGAAAGUCCUGCCCCAAACUGUCUCACCAUGACAUUCUCUUUAGUCUCGAUCCUUUCAGUAUAAAUCUUUACAUUCAGCUAUAGAAGUUUUCUUAGUUUCUUCAUAUGUUCCUUGUCCCCCAUCAGUUUAUUUAAGUGUUUAUUCAAAGGAACACAGAAAAAUGCCCCCUGUAGUUUCGUUUCUCAAAGGCAGUGACAGUGCCUUCUAUGCAUUUGCAUGACCUUAACAUUUCAUGUGCUUGGGCACACCUACUAUAAGUCUACUGUGACAAAGUAUGCCACAUCACGUGGUCCACAGUGACUUGGUGACUCCCUCCCUCCGUUGCUCCAGGUCUCUCGCCUGGCACCGGCUAUACUUCUCUGGCUAGGCCACUCUGGCUAUGCCAGGAGCAGAUGGCCCUUCACCACAGGGAGGUCCUGGAACCUGGCAAAGGGUUUCCCUGAGUGCUGCUCAAGCAGCGAGGCUGUUAUUAUGAAAGGAAUGGGGCUGCUAAUGAGACAAGAGUCCAGCUCUGAAGGGCUGCAAUGGCCAGGGAAAAAAAGAUGACCUCCUUUACUUCCAUGAUUGACCUUUCUCCUUUUGUAAAUGGGCACAGAAGCGGCUUACAAAGCCCCUCUCAUGAGCUUGUUUUCUUUGCUCGUGUUUUCACAUCAUCCACAGAAAGAAAGGCCCCGACUCAUCUUCCAAUCUGCUUCUUGUCGCUACAGCGUUCUGAGGCUCAGGCUCUUCAGUUCACCUGUGAACUUGCGUCAGCUUCCCACGUACCACACAGGGAAUCGUACGCUACAAUCUUCAGGAGGCAAAAGUCAACUAAUAACUUGCAAUGGAAGCAAUGUACUUUUUUUUUAAAUACAGUAGGGACUCGGUGAGGCUUGGUUGGCAUCUUGUUCAAAAUAUAAUCAAACAAAAGUCUCUUUUGUUUGAUGUCCACUCAGUAUGCAUUCAGUAGGAAAUCCAUAUCCAUGCAAGAGAAUGGGGACGAGGGAUGCUACAAAGGUAUUCAACAAAUUGUCUUCAUUCAAGGAUCCUUUAUUUUAGUAGAGAAGUACACAAGUAACUAUGAUUUAUGGCCUUUAGUGAUAAGACCAUAACAUGGUACAAAAAAUUUUUUGAAAAGGCAAAGAUCACUUCUUAUUCAGGUUACUGGGAUAGCCUUCCUUCAUAGAGGAAGUGACAUCUGAGUUGGGUCUUGAAGAUGUCAACAGCCUGAGAAAGCAAUAUGAAACAUACAGAACAGUAGGAGGAGGGUGGCUUUGUGAAGGGCUUGAUUUGACUGGAACACUGGUUAUGUAGAGAGUCUUGACUAACGAGGCCAGAAAGGGCAGCUGGGGCCAGACCCUGGGGGGGGAACUUAAAUAUCAGGCUGAAGAGUCAGGCUUUCAUUGAUGGGCAGUGGAAAAUCAAUGAAGGAUUUUUUUUUAAACAACUUUAUUGAGGUAGUAUUGACAUACAAUAAACUACACAUUUCAAAGUAUAGAGUUUGGUAAGUUUUGGCAUGUGUGUAUUAUAUACCCAUGAAACCAUCACCACAAUCAAGAUAACAAACAUAUCCCAUCACCUUCGGAAGUUCCACUGAGAGAUAUUAAAGAGAACGACAAUCAAAGCGAUGCUCUGGGAAAAUGUUUCUUGAUUUUUAAAAAAUGAACGUUCCCUCCUAAGAAAUUUUUUUAAAGUCUCAUAAUCUCCUGCAGUGGUAUGUAAAAUUUCAAAAUGAAUUAUAACAUAUCUAAAAAUGAAUAAAACAACGGACAAAGAAACCACAGCUUUGGUUGAUCUGGCGGCAGUAGACUGCACAGACUGGAAUAGGACAGGCCUGGAACAGGAGGAUCAAUCGAAAGCUUAAGCAAGAGGCUUUUUCAAUAGCCCAGGUAAUGAACUUUUGUAGGAAGAAUCAAAUCAAAAAGGAAGGAAUACGUGAAAGACUAGUUGGGUGAAUAGGAUGGGAAAGAGGGAGAAAGGAAAAAUGACUGAAGUUCUGAGCUAGUUGGAUGGCCGUUGGGGCAAGUAUGGGGAUAAGAAAGGUAUAUAGAAAUAAAGGGUUAGUGUUUGUGGAUAUGGAUUUGGGAAGAAGGGAAAUAAGCCAGACUUACAAAUCAGCCACAUCAAGGCGAAAGGCAAAAGCACAGAUUGGCUUGCUUUUGUGAAAGACAAAAGUUAAGGGAGAGAAAAAAUGUCAAGCUAGAACUUUAUAAACUUUAAAUCACAGGGACUCCAAACUGUUUAAGCAGCACUUAAAAUAUUCCAGGCACUGGGCUAAGCCCUUUACAAGUAGUACUGCUUCAUUUAUCCCUCAUAGUAAUUGUAUGAAUUACCAGAUCAUCGCUAUUUUAAGAUGUGGAACCUAAGGCAUUGGAUUACCUGCCCAGUGUCACAUGAUUCAUCUAUGGUGAAAGAAAAUUGUUAACACCAGACCAUGUUAAAUGCAUUCUUAAUUUCUGGGCUGCAGUGUCUUCUUCCUGUGUAGCCCAAUUACUUCAGUUUUCCUAGGACGGAGGGUGUAGCAACAAACACAACACCUAGGCUAGAGAGCUGUCCAGGGUAGUCCCAGGGGCACCAUAGCCUCUAUCCCAAGACACUCAAGUAAACUUGGAACUAGAUUCAUGGUCUGAUGUUUUACAGGCAAGACAGGAUAGAAGAGGAGCUGGUACAGUUAAGAGGGAAACAAAAGGACAAAAAGGAAGCUGCUGGCCUCUGACAUUUACCACUCAAUUUAACUUUUCCAGGUUUACUGAGAUAUAAUUGACAUUUAACAUUGUGUAAGUUUAAGGUAUACAACGUAAUGACUAUAUAUAGCAAAAUGAUUACCAUAUUUUGUGUGUGUGAGAACUUUAAAGAUCUCCUCUCUUAGCAACUUGCCAACCCCUGUUCUAAAGUGAUGGUUCUCAAACUCUGGAGGUAUGUUAGAAUCACCUGUGGAACUGGUUAAAAAGUUAGGAUCCUAGGCCCUAGCCCACCCCUACAGAAUCAGAACCUCUAGGGACAGGGCCUGGAAAUCAGCCAUUUUUAAGGCCAACAAAUGGCAUGUGCAAUCACACUUUGAAAAACACUGUGGUAUGCAGCUAGCUUCACCCAAGGUGAGCUCGCCCUACUGUCCUAGAUGUGGGUCAGCACUUCCUGCUUCUGGUGGCAGUAAAAAUGCAGUGACUGUUUUAUGUUUCUUUGGUCUUUCUAGUAGCAGGGCAGAUAAACAAACUGCUAUUUUUCAUUCUAACCCUGAAAAUGCAUACAAUAAUUCUGCUCAGGUGAAAUUAACAUGAAAUUUAGGUUGUGAAUUUAAAAGAAAGUCCUCAACUUAAAAUAACAAGAUUUCCCAACCAAAAAUCUCCCUGAAAUCUUUUAAACUGAAAAAUUAGUAGAUGAGAGCUUUACCAAACACGGGGAUAAAUCUGAAGGACUAGUUUACUGGGCAUGCCCUUCCCCCCAAAAUAUCUCCAGCAAAGGACUGUCCCAUUACCUGGAAUUCCACUACUAACUAGUCAUUGCUUUGUGCCUGGAGGUCUUUGCUUCAACAGACUCUCAUUAAAACUU